rnacentral:lncRNA from 1 species
GAAGUUGACUCUCUCCCAACGACAAAUGGGACAUCGGUAGGAACGAUGUUAACGUGAUGCCCUUGGCAAAUAUCCUUUACAACAUUCCCAGGCGAAAGACCAGGAACUGUCCCAUGCAAGCCUAGGAGGGAUGCUUCAUACGCUUUGGGUACCUGGUACCCUGUGCCAUAUACAUGCAGAGAUUAGCUUGAGAACCUCUGCUGUAGUUACUUAAAAAGGAUGUGAUAACGUGUGUGAUCUCACUGACUGAUGUGUGACCAUUAAGAUCCUACAGUUCACUUUGUAUUUCGAUCCACUUUAAUGGACAUAUAUGCAUGUUUCCCUUAAGUCUCCUCUUCGUUGUCAAGAGUCCCCGCUAUCAAUCAUGGAGAACUUGAACCAGGAAUUGAUGUGCUGUUCCCUUAACUCCAUGUGUCACAUAAUGAAUUCCAGCUGGCUGAAGAAAGGAGAAAGUUGUUUAAAAUCUUCAUUUUAACUUUCCGGGGAUUUUUUUUUUUCUUAUAAAAGGGUUGGGAGGGCAGAGAAGAGCAGGUGGUGUUUAGGACACCUAUUUAUUCUGCCUUAAAACCAUGUUAAACUAAGGAAAUUUUGUUGCAAGUGUAGAGGAUGAACCCAUCUGUGGUAUGUUGCUGUAUUAGUAAAGGGAUAUAACGUGGAUGUUUAUUAGCUAAGCAAUAACUUUUCUAUGUGUUAUUUGAUGUAGCUAGUGACUAUUUAUUUACAUGUUAUGCUAGACGGUCCUUUGCAUGCCAGUUCUGUGCUCGUGCAGAAUUUCUCCUCGGUCACCGAUGGCGUUUUUAUGACAUUGUCAUUCGAAAAUGUUGGAUUGAACCUUAUACAUCAUUUCAUUAAAAUUGUGCCUUAGAAAAUGCAAAGCUAUUGCACAUAGUCAGUGAUGACUUAUGGAUACAGCGAAUUCAAGAGGAACGGAGUUAUUCCCGAGACCUUCGGCUCCUGAGACUUCUGGUAGCGGUUGCUGUUUUACAAAAAUGAAAACAAAAAAUAGUUUUGGAAAUGUACAGAUAUUCAGUCCGAUAUUUUGAUUAAUCAUCUGCAUGUUUUAUCGUUAGCUAUUUUGAUAAUGUUGAUGUUUACAUUUUGCAUGGUAUUCACAGAGUACUCUCCCACGGUAAUGCACAAAACAUGCACAAUUUCAACCUUCAUAACUGAUUUUUAUAGAACCCUUUUUACCUAUGAAACUCCAU